rnacentral:rRNA from 1 species
CCUACGGGUGGCAGCAGUGGGGAAUAUUGCGCAAUGGGCGAAAGCCUGACGCAGCGACGCCGCGUGAGGGAUGAAGGUCUUCGGAUCGUAAACCUCUGUCAGCAGGGAAGAACGGUCACUGUGCUAAUCAGCAGUGAAUUGACGGUACCUGCAAAGGAAGCACCGGCUAACUCCGUGCCAGCAGCCGCGGUAAUACGGAGGGUGCGAGCGUUAAUCGGAAUUACUGGGCGUAAAGCGCUCGUAGGCGGUAUGUCAAGUCAAGGGUGAAAUCCCCGGGCUCAACGUGGGAACUGCCUUUGAAACUGGCAGACUGGAGUGGGUGAGAGGAUAGUGGAAUUCGAGGUGUAGGAGUGAAAUCCGUAGAUAUCUGGAGGAACAGCAGUGGCGAAGGCGACUAUCUGGCACAUAACUGACGCUGAGGAGCGAAAGCGUGGGUAGCAAACAGGAUUAGAUACCCGGGUAGUC